UACGUAGGGCGCAAGCGUUGUCCGGAAUUAUUGGGCGUAAAGAGCUCGUAGGCGGUCUGUCGCGUCGGAUGUGAAAGCCCGGGGCUUAACCCCGGGUCUGCAUUCGAUACGGGCAGACUAGAGUGUGGUAGGGGAGAUCGGAAUUCCUGGUGUGGCGGUGAAAUGCGCAGAUAUCAGGAGGAACACCGGUGGCGAAGGCGGAUCUCUGGGCCAUUACUGACGCUGAGGAGCGAAAGCGUGGGAGCGAACAGG
rnacentral:rRNA from 1 species